rnacentral:rRNA from 1 species
UACGUAGGGGGCAAGCGUUGUCCGGAAUCAUUGGGCGUAAAGAGCGUGUAGGCGGCCAUACAGGUCAGCUGUGAAAACUCGAGGCUCAACCUCGAGACGUCGGUUGAAACCGUAUGGCUAGAGUCCGGAAGAGGAGAGUGGAAUUCCCGGUGUAGCGGUGAAAUGCGCAGAUAUCAGGAAGAACACCCGUGGCGAAGGCGGCUCUCUGGGACGGUACUGACGCUGAGACGCGAAAGCGUGGGGAGCGAACAGG